rnacentral:lncRNA from 1 species
GUUGAUGACGUCAUAGUCAGAGAGUUACACGGGUUGAGGACACAGGCGUAUCCAAAGCCACACGGGCGUGUGUGACCACACGGCCUACCCGCACAGGCAUGUGACUCUCCAAAUUAAUAAAAUUUUCUAAGUGUCAAAAUGGUUUUGAAAGUUUUCGAUUUAGUCCUAAAGCGUUUCUGGUGUAUGCUUUGGGUUUCAUAGGCC